rnacentral:rRNA from 1 species
UACAGAGGUCUCAAGCGUUGUUCGGAUUCAUUGGGCGUAAAGGGUGCGUAGGCGGCGCGGUAAGUCGGGUGUGAAAUCUCGGAGCUUAACUCCGAAACUGCAUUCGAUACUGCCGUGCUUGAGGACUGGAGAGGAUACUGGAAUUUACGGUGUAGCGGUGAAAUGCGUAGAUAUCGUAAGGAAGACCAGUGGCGAAGGCGGGUCUCUGGACAGUUCCUGACGCUGAGGCACGAAGGUCAGGGGAGCAAACGGG